rnacentral:rRNA from 1 species
CCUACGGGUGGCAGCAGUGGGGAAUAUUGCGCAAUGGGCGAAAGCCUGAAGCAGCGACGCCGCGUGCGGGAUGAAGGUCUUCGGAUUGUAAAACUCUGUCAGCAGGGAAGUACGGUCACUGUGCUAAUCAGCAGUGAAUUGACGGUACCUGCAAAGGAAGCACCGGCUAACUCCGUGCCAGCAGCCGAGGUAAUACGGCGGGUGAGAGCGUUAAUCGGAAUUACUGGGCGUAAAGCGCUCGUAGGCGGUAUGUCAAGUCAAGGGUGAAAUCCCCGGGCUCAACGUGGGAACUGCCUUUGAUACUGGCAAACUAGAGUGUGUGAGAGGUAAGUGGAAUUCCAGGUGUAGGAGUGAAAGCCGUAGAUAUCUGGAGGAACAUCAGGGGCGAAGGCGACUAUCUGGCACAUAACUGACGCUGAGGAGCGAAAGCGUGGGUAGCAAACAGGAUUAGAUACCCGAGUAGUC